ensembl:lncRNA
GGGAGACCUGCUUCUGCUAGCGGUGGUGCCGGAGGGCAGGAGUGUGACCACAGAGAGGUUUUUAAAAGUGAAAUCAGAGGCAGGCCCUCCGAGGUUCCGAACCCAGACUUCUUACGGAGGCUUCGGCCUCUGCCAAACCAACCUCCAGGCUGGUUUGCUCAGGCUGGCCCCUGCUCCCGCGCCCGGCCUCCUGCCUCCCUGCCGUGGGAGCAGGUUUCUCUGUGCUCUGUUGACAUUGGGAGCAGAGAGUUCUUUGUGGCGUGCGUUCUGUGCAUUGUAGGAUGGGUAACGGCAUCCCUGGCCUCUACUGCACUAGAUGGCUGUGCCACCCCGCUCCCCAGUUGUGACAAUCAAAUCUGCCUCCAGACGUUCCCAAAUGACCCGCGGUGGAGCAAAGUCGCCUGCACUGAGAACCACCACCUGACAACAAGCUCAGAGCCUUGUUUCCUUGUCGCAUGGCUGGCCUCCUGUUUUCCUUCAGCCCUCAACUGGAGUGGUGACUCCUUCUUGUACAUGGUCCCCACAACGAUGAGCUCCAUGGUGGCAGGGUUCUUGUGUCUCUUGUGCCUCACCAUGCCCUCCAGCACCUACACCAGUGUGGGACGUUACACCGGAGUGGAGCGGAAGAGUGUUCUCCAGAAACGGCCUCCAGCAUGGCUUCAGAAAUUGGGACCCAGGACUGUCAUAAUUCAGUUCAUCUGAGACCAUUUUGUCUUCCUCCUCCACCCUUAACUCCAGCUAAAACCAGGAUGGAGCAAUUGCCUAGGAAGUGGGCUUGCUGGUAAGUCAUCUGGGUAAGUAGUCCUUCCUAAAAGGCUUGAAGUGGCAUGCAUUAACUUUAUUUUUCAAAAUGUCUGACAUCUUGACUGUUGCCUAGCAAGGUGCUGGCACACAGUGGGCAGUAGAUACAUAUUUAAUGAGAGAAUAAUCGGAUGCCAAGAUAGGACUUAUCCCACCCUUUCCAUUAGUGCUAAUCAUCUUCAGCUGUUAGCUCAAAUGUCACUUUCCUGAUCUUCCCAGAUUAGAACAGAUCCCCCUUUUAUAUGUUAUUAGAGCACAGUGUACGUUUUUCUUACACCACACCCAUUAUAGUUUAUAAUUAUUUAUUUUGUGAAGCUGUUUAGUAGCUGUCUUCAAAGCUAGGAGGGAUGAGAUUUUGUGUGUUUUGUCCGCUACAAUAUUCCUAGAAUCUAGGACAGCACUCGCCAGUGAUAGAUACGUGUGGAAUUAACUGAAUAAAUGAAUGAUUGAAUAUUUGUUGAAUUGUAAAUGGUGCCGGAAGAAAGUCUUACGUUCACCUAAUUUUUUUUGAGACUCUCGUGAUCUUCUACAGCGUGUAUUGGUAUCCUAAUUUCGCUAGUGGAAAAAGCAAACCCCUCAAGAUUCCGGUCUAGGAUCACACAUCUCAUAGGCAUUAGAAUUCAGACUUGAGUUAAAAGGCUCAAAACUAAUUCCUAGUCCAGCACUUCUUCUACACCCCAGCUGGUACAUACGCCAAAAACUCUGAGUGUUUUAAGACUGACGGCAUGAUACGCUCAGGCAAAGAGCAGAAUAACGUUAAACGUGGAAUGAAAAUAAAGCCAUUCAGCUUGAAUCAUGUGGUGACUUAGUGGUGACGCUCUGCCCAAAACAGAUGUGCCAUUUUGGAUAACAGCAAGCUAACCCGGUUGGGUGGUCUUGUUUAAGAAGGAUAAAGCCAGGUGAAAGGGGGGUGGGAGGUGGGAGGCAGCAGUUACAGAGCUUAGGAUGUGCACCCAGGACUCGUGAGCACUUGUUGCUGGUCUGUGGGAGGUCUGCUAUGCACCCCAAUCUGGGUACCCAGAGGCUGCAAAACAAAUCCAGCGGGCAGAAAUGUUUUCAUUUGGUUGCGAUGUUUAAAAGAAGCGAACCAAGACCAUAUAAUUCAAGAUUCCAUUUCUAUGAAAUGUCUGGAGUAGGCAACUCUAUAGGGACAGAACGCAGACUGGUGUGUGAUUGCCAGUGCUGGGGGGAGGGGAAGAUUGGGGAGUGACCGCUAAAAGGUGUGGCGUUGCUUUUUGUAGUAAUGAAAUGUUCUGAAAUCGUGGCGAUGGUUGCACAACUCAGUGAAUAUACUAAAAACCAUUGAAUUGUACACUUUAAAUGGAUGAACUUUAAAUGGAUGAACUUUAAAUGGAUGAACUGUAUGGUAUGUGAAUUACAUUUCAAUAAUGCUGUUACC